CAGGUGUGCCUUCGGGAACUCUGAGACAGGUGCUGCAUGGCUGUCGUCAGCUCGUGUUGUGAAAUGUUGGGUUAAGUCCCGCAACGAGCGCAACCCUUAUCCUUGUUUGCCAGCGAGUAAUGUCGGGAACUCCAGGGAGACUGCCGGUGAUAAACCGGAGGAAGGUGGGGACGACGUCAAGUCAUCAUGGCCCUUACGAGUAGGGCUACACACGUGCUACAAUGGCGCAUACAGAGGGCAGCAAGCUAGCGAUAGUGAGCGAAUCCCAAAAAGUGCGUCGUAGUCCGGAUUGGAGUCUGCAACUCGACUCCAUGAAGUCGGAAUCGCUAGUAAUCGUGAAUCAGAAUGUCACGGUGAAUACGUUCCCGGGCCUUGUCACACCGCCCGUCACACCAUGGGAGUGGGCUGCAAAAGAAGUGGGUAGUUUAACCUUUCGGGGAGGACGCU
rnacentral:rRNA from 1 species